UACGUAGGGGCAAGCGUUGUCCGGAUUUAUUGGGCGUAAAGAGCGUGUAGGCGGCCAUACAGGUCCGUUGUGAAAACUGGAGGCUCAACCUCCAGACGUCGACGGAAACCGUAUGGCUAGAGUCCGGAAGAGGAGAGUGGAAUUCCUGGUGUAGCGGUGAAAUGCGCAGAUAUCAGGAAGAACACCUAUGGCGAAGGCAGCACUCUGGGACGGUACUGACGCUGAGACGCGAAAGCGUGGGGAGCGAACAGG
rnacentral:rRNA from 1 species